CGGCAUGCCUUACACAUGCAAGUCGAACGGCAGCACGGGAGCAAUCCUGGUGGCGAGUGGCGAACGGGUGAGUAAUAUAUCGGAACGUGCCCGGUCGUGGGGGAUAACGUAGCGAAAGCUACGCUAAUACCGCAUACGAUCUACGGAUGAAAGCGGGGGAUCGCAAGACCUCGCGCGAUUGGAGCGGCCGAUAUCAGAUUAGGUAGUUGGUGAGGUAAAGGCUCACCAAGCCGACGAUCUGUAGCUGGUCUGAGAGGACGACCAGCCACACUGGGACUGAGACACGGCCCAGACUCCUACGGGAGGCAGCAGUGGGGAAUUCUGGACAAUGGGCGCAAGCCUGAUCCAGCAAUGCCGCGUGCAGGAUGAAGGCCUUCGGGUUGUAAACUGCUUUUGUACGGAACGAAACGGUGAGCUCUAAUACAGUUUGCUAAUGACGGUACCGUAAGAAUAAGCACCGGCUAACUACGUG
rnacentral:rRNA from 1 species